CUGGUCAAAUUUCCUAUGAAGGAGAUUUGACUAUUCACAUACUAGAUGACCCGAAUAUGAAAACUAUAUAUACACAAAUACAUGGCUUACAAAAAUAUUGGAAUAGUGUUAAAUCUAUGCUUUUAAUUAGAUAGUUAUUCUUCCAAGAAAAAAAUAAUCCAAUCAAAAGAAGCUGUUACCUCAGAUUAGAAAGCAAUGGCAGUUUCUCUUUCAGUGGAGUGAUAAAUCUUACUGUCUUCCUUUGAGUACAUUGUUCUUAUCAACUCUCUGGUAUUUUCCUGUCAUUCCUAUCACACACCUAACACUGUGGUCAGAACCAUCCUUCAACUGUGGCUCCCUAGCUCAGUCCAGUCCCCCUGGGUGGCUGCUUGGGUUACAGUUCAGCAGGUGUCCUAAGGCCUCUGCUUCAGGGUUUCUAAUCUAGUCAGCAAGGAUUUGAGUGAUGACAGAGUGUCCCAUAUCAAUGGUCACACUGGGCAGUAGGAUCAACUGGUCCGAGAUCCCCAGCUCUGUUACUGCCUAAAAGUUAAAAACGCCUUCCCUACUUUACCAUCAAAAGAUGGACACCAAUGGAGGGUGAGACUGAAGAAUCAGGAAGUCUCAGCUACCUGUCCAGCAUCAUGUCUGCCUGCCUACUCCAUGCUUCCCUCCUUGCUGAUACUGGACUAAACCUCUGUAAAUUCUGGCUGCAGGCAGGAGGACUGUGGAAGUGAACUCUUCAAGAGAAUUGACCCAAAAGUGGCUCUCCACUGGACAAGACUGUCAUCUUAUAUCCCAUUGGCUGGAACUCACGUUUAUCACACAAUGCCUUGCAUCACACGAAGGGACAUAGGAAAAUAAGCAAGAGUUAUCAGAUGAGGAGCCAGCAA